rnacentral:lncRNA from 1 species
CCAAUAAAUCCAUGGCUUCGUAUAACUUUGCUCGUAUAAUUCUCUUCUCUACAAUCCUUUUUGUCCUCUUCACGCCUCGUCAAUGUAAGUUCAUUAUAAACUCUUAUUUUUUCUAUUCUAAUCAGUAUCUUAAAAGAUGUAAAGUGUAAUAAAGCGACAAGAUCAAAUCCAAGUAAAGUCUAACCGAAUCUAGAAGAACUUUUUAGAAUGGUGAUUCGAAUUUUUUACUCAUGGGAAAGAGUAAUUUGCCUUCCAACUUGACUUUCGUGCAUUCCCUUUUAGUCAAUGUCUUGAUGGCUGAAAGGCAUGAAUAUACAAAUCAAAUUGACAUAUUGAUCAAAUCGUAUAAUUUUCACUUGCUAUUGGAGAUAACACAUAAACAAAUCAAAAUGUCCUCUCUCUCUCCCUCCCUCUCUCUCUCUCUUCCCCGCGCGCUAGCGCUGCAUUAGUUAUAAUAGUAUUGAAAAGAAGAGCAAAGCAUUAAGCACUUGUUUAGUCAACAGUGCUAUACGUCACUAUAAAAAUAUAAAAAGCAAGAUUUUUUUUAUUUUUAUUUUCACUCAACAUUUCUGUGUUUCCAACCUAUCAAACAUGCAUUUAUAAUUGUUCAAAUGUUAUUUAUUAAUAUCUUGCCUGUAUUAGCUUAUAUUUAAAUAGGGGGACAAGAAAAAGAGCGUGAUUUAAGAGGAAGAUGCUAAAAUGAUAGCAUGAAGAUUGUAAAAAUUUUAAUGUAACGAUAUAAUACUCAUUUGAGACUGGAGAUUACACACUUAAGUCUUAAAAAGGAAUAAGAUUUUAAUAUAUUUUCUGCUUAAAAUUUUGUUUAUAGUUAUUGAGUUUGUCCUAUCAAAUAUGUAGCAAUAAUGGUUCAAAUGUUCACUAUUAAUUUCUUGUUGGUACAUUUUGUUUUAAUUUCUUAAUUUUGAUUUAAAUAGGUCACAUAAACAAGAACGCAAUUGAGCAGGGAGACAGGGGGACGAUAACACCUUCGAAUGCAAGUCAAAGUGAGUUAAAGGAGGAAAAAAUAUAUCUUGAUUUUUGCAAGAAGGAUGAGUGUAAAGAAAUUGGAAGAUGCUGGUGUUGUCUUAGAAUUGGCCCUUAUUUUACCAAAUGCUAUGCUGAUCAAGAUGAUUGUCUAGAAGUUUGCCCGCCUUAUUCUCCUCCACUAGGGAAACACCGAAAAAUUUUACCAUGAGCAUUUUAUAUUUGAAAAAGUGUGUGUAACACAUAUAUACACUAAAUAAUGUGGUUUUAGACCAAUUUUUUUUUAGAGUUUAUCUGCAAAUUAUAUGGUGAAG